rnacentral:rRNA from 1 species
GACGAACGCUGGCGGCGUGCUUAACACAUGCAAGUCGAACGGAAAGGCCCUGCUUUUGUGGGGUGCUCGAGUGGCGAACGGGUGAGUAACACGUGAGUAACCUGCCCUUGACUUUGGGAUAACUUCAGGAAACUGGGGCUAAUACCGGAUAGGAGCUCCUGCUGCAUGGUGGGGGUUGGAAAGUUUCGGCGGUUGGGGAUGGACUCGCGGCUUAUCAGCUUGUUGGUGGGGUAGUGGCUUACCAAGGCUUUGACGGGUAGCCGGCCUGAGAGGGUGACCGGCCACAUUGGGACUGAGAUACGGCCCAGACUCCUACGGGAGGCAGCAGUGGGGAAUAUUGCACAAUGGGCGGGAGUCUGAUGCAGCAACGCCGCGUGCGGGAUGACGGCCUUCGGGUUGUAAACCGCUUUCGCCUGUGACGAAGCGUGAGUGACGGUAAUGGGUAAAGAAGCACCGGCUAACUACGUG